UCGAAUCAGGUAGGACU
rnacentral:rRNA from 2 species